rnacentral:rRNA from 1 species
UACGGGGGGAGCAAGCGUUGUUCGGAUUUACUGGGCGUAAAGGGCGCGUAGGCGGUCAGCACAAGUCAGUUGUGAAAUCUCCGGGCUUAACUCGGAAAGGUCAACUGAUACUGUGCGACUAGAGUGCGGAAGGGGCAACUGGAAUUCUCGGUGUAGCGGUGAAAUGCGUAGAUAUCGAGAGGAACACCUGCGGCGAAGGCGGGUUGCUGGGCCGACACUGACGCUGAUGCGCGAAAGCUAGGGGAGCAAACGGG